UAAGGCUGAACCACUGCAGUCACUGUUUUAAUGAUGUCUUUAGUACCUUUCUGGACCUUGAAAGUGUUGAUUAUAGAUAUCGAGUCAUAAACCUGUUGGAUUUCAUCAAAAAUAUCUUAAUUUGUGUUCUGAAGAUGAACGAAGGUCUUACGGGUGUGGAACGACAUGAGGGAGAGUAAUUAAUGACAGAAAUUACAUUUUUGGCUGAACUAACCCUUUAACUCAUGAGUGUAGUUUGUGGGAAAGAUGCAACUAGAUCCUACACACGUGCCAAAAGUCACCACAGAACUACAUUUCCCAGCAUGCCUUCUGGUCACCACCUGCACCCAGUCAGACAUGAUCACAUGAUCAGCUCCUCACCCACACCUGUGCGAUGAUCCUCUUCAUCUGCAUCAGAUGAGACUGUUAUUCUCCAACAUUUCAACUACAGUGAUGAUAUCCAGUCAUAUUUACAUCAUAUUUAGUUCAGUUUUGUAACUUACAGAAGAAACACAAGCCAAGGAAAACUACGCACAUUCGACAGCUGCGCGAGAACAACACAUAUGUGUGUAUAUGUGCUGCCGAAGCGAGCACGAACUGAGAGAUUGGACCACAGCUAUAUAUAUCGGGGACCCCCAGGUGUGUAUUUCAGUGGUGGUGAGCGGAUAAACCACUUAUUCUACUCCCUUACGUCAAAUGUGACUGUAAAUCGUGGGGACGUAGCCCUGUAAACAUCUAAAAACCAGGAUAUUUUCAAACCAGCAGUUUUGUGUGGGUUUACCGUAGUAUUUUCUGAGCUGUAGACCAUAUACAAAUGAACCCUGAUCUUCUAGCAGUGAUAGGACGGCUCGGCCUGACGCAGAGGAGCUCUUUGUCACGUGGUGCGUCCCUCCCCCACAGACAGAGCGGAACCUCCUGGGGCGAAAGAGCGGGAAGUCUGUCUGCGGGGGAGGAGCGUGUCAUGUGACCGAGAGCUGCUCUGCUAGCUUCACUCCGUCAUGAUUCACAGACUAGCACAGAGACCUGGAAACCCUCCUUUCAGAACAGCCGAGGCAGGGAAACUCGAGUUUAAGAGUCACAUGACAAAACAGAACAGAUGCUUUUGUGUAAACGGCCAUCAGCGUGAUGCCAAAUCAAAGGGGAGAAGGUGCAAGUCAUGUAGAUAUGACCAUCAGUGAGCAAUAGAACCGACAGUCCCUGUCUGAAGUUAUGGUCCCGGAGCGAAUCCCCUCAACAUUCAAGAGUUAUUCUCUCCUGAUGUCAACAUGAGUGAGGCCCUGAGGAAAAUCCUCCAUUUCAAAUAAAUGCUCAUGGAAAAAUAACACUUCUACUAAUCAAAGAAUCCUGAAAUACACUGAUAAUAACAAAUGUUUGAGCAUCAAAUCAGCAUAUCAGAAUGAUUUCAGAAGGAUCAUGUGACACUGAAGACUGGAGUAAUAAUGCUGAACGUAAUUUACGAUAAAGUUUGUCGAGACAAACUUUGAAAUUGGCUUGAGAGAGCCUGACCAGAAAGUUUUGAAGUAGUAGCUUGAAGUUUGAA